GAGGAACACCAGUGGCGAAGGCGGCUCUCUGGUCUGUAACUGACGCUGAGGCUCGAAAGCGUGGGGAGCAAACAGGAUUAGAUACCCUGGUAGUCCACGCCGUAAACGAUGAGUGCUCAGUGUUGGAGGGUUUCCGCCCUUCAGUGCUGCAGCUAACGCAUUAACCACUCCGCCUGGGGAGUACGCCCGCACGGUUGAAACUCAAAGGAAUUGACGUGGGCCCGCCAAAGCGGCGGAGCAUGGUGUCUAAUUCGAAGCAACGCCAAGCACCUUACCAGGUUUUGACAGCCUUUGACCACUCUCGAGAUAGAGCUUCCCCUUCGGGGGCAAAGUGACAGGUGGUGCAUGGUUGUCGUCAGCUCGUGUUGUGAGAUGUUGGGUUAAGUCCCGCAACGAGAGCAACCCUAAUUGUUAGUUGCCAUCAUGCAGUUGGGCACUCUAGCAAGACUGCCUGUGACAAUCCGGAGGGAGGUGGGGAUGACGUCAAAUCAUCAUGCCCCUUAUGACCUGGGCUACACA
rnacentral:rRNA from 1 species